rnacentral:rRNA from 1 species
AGCGAACGCUGGCGGCGUGCUUAACACAUGCAAGUCGAGCGAAGGUGUUUCAAGGGUAACCUUGAGAUACACUUAGCGGCGGACGGGUGAGUAAUACGUGGAUAACUUACCUCUAGGCCUGGGAUAACCCCGGGAAACUGGGGCUAAUACCUGAUAAGACCACAUUGUCUACGGACAAAGGGGUAAAAGGUGGCUGUGCAAACAGCUAUCGCCAAAAGAUAGGUUCACGUCCCAUCAGGCAGUGGCGAGGUAAUGGCUCACCAAACCAAAGACGGGUAGCCGGCCUUGGCGGGUGAACGGCCACACGGGGGACUGAGACACGGCCCCGACUCCUACGGGAGGCAGCAGUGGGGAAUAUUGGGCAAUGGGCGCAAGCCUGACCCAGCGACGCCGCGUUGGGGAAGAAGGCCUUCGGGUUGUAAACCCA